rnacentral:rRNA from 1 species
UACGGGGGGGGCAAGCGUUGUUCGGAAUUACUGGGCGUAAAGGGCUCGUAGGCGGCCAACUAAGUCAGACGUGAAAUCCCCAGGCUCAACCUGGGAACUGCGUCUGAUACUGGAUGGCUUGAAUUCGGGAGAGGGAUGCAGAAUUCCAGGUGUAGCGGUGAAAUGCGUAGAUAUCUGGAGGAAUACCGGUGGCGAAGGCGGCAUCCUGGACCGACAUUGACGCUGAGGAGCGAAAAGCUAGGGGAGCAAACGGGG